rnacentral:lncRNA from 1 species
GUGACCUUUGCCAUGUGACUCAGAUGAUCCCCAUCUGUGUCAGCUGCCCUGUGUUUUUAAUUUCUCUAGAAUGGUUAAAUGACAGCUUCUUUGGCCAUCCCAAUAGAAGUACCUGACAAUCCCAACUCUCCUUCCUACUGAACAGGUUUUUAUUCAUGAAGAAAUCAAAACCAUUUCCAGGUAUUUAUAUUUUUGAGCCAACUUUUAUAUUGUGCUUUUCUUCUCCCACUUUUGCUUUUUCAGACAGUCUCCUUGUGUAGCCCAGGGUCACCUGAACUCAAGGUCCUCUUGCUUCAGGCUACAGAGAGCAGGUAUGGCUCACCAAUACCGGCAUGAUCCAGGCUUGAGUUGGUUUUUACACAGUCUAGACUGAUGCUCCGAACCAUAGUGGAAGAUAAAGGUUUCCUCUCCUGAUCUACAGAAAGUGGCCUAUCACCAGCCUGCUUUUCCUGAUCUACAGAAAGUGGCCUAUCACCAGCCUGCUUUUGCCCGUGAAUUUUACAAAGUAACCAGGAGUGGGGAGGGUCUGAGUCAUCCAGCUCUAGAUCCGGCCCUUCCCCAGCUCUACCUAGCUGAAGACCUGACACCAAGACAUCUCUCCAAUCUCCUGAAAGAUUCAUUUUGAUGAAUUUUCUUUCAAAGAUUUAUUCAGGAACCAAAUGGAAGCAUCAAAUUCAUGGAAAACGCUGUUAAAUAAGAAAAGCAGAGUGAGUUUAACUAAUUUUGGAUAUUCCUUAAAAAUUCUAAGAUAUACAUAAAGUCUAGAAAUAGCCCCAAGACAUAUAAAUAUUACUAUCCCCCCCAUAUUUAAAAAAAACUCACAGUAAGUUAAAAAUGUUGCUCAAAGACACAUGCAUGAAAGUUUGUUUAUCUGGGGUCACAAACUUUUUUCCUUUUCUUCCUCCUCCUCCUCCUCCUUCUUCAUCAUCAUGAUGGGGGUGGG